UACGGGGGGGGCAAGCGUUGUUCGGAAUUACUGGGCGUAAAGGGCUCGUAGGCGGCCAACUAAGUCGGAUGUGAAAUCCCCAAGCUUAACCUGGGAACUGCAUCCGAUACUGGAUGGCUUGAAUCCGGGAGAGGGAUGCAGAAUUCCAGGUGUAGCGGUGAAAUGCGUAGAUAUCUGGAGGAAUACCGGUGGCGAAGGCGGCAUCCUGGACCGGCACUGACGCUGAGGAGCGAAAGCGUGGGUAGCAAACAGG
rnacentral:rRNA from 1 species